rnacentral:lncRNA from 1 species
AUCAUGCUUGACCUUUGGUGAACCAAUUGAGCCAAGACUCAAAACUCUGCAUGGUUCUACUUUUUGUCUGAUUUAAAUCAUUCUUAAAUCAUAUCCUUUGUAUCAUGUGCAAUUGUUUCAAUCUCUCCCUCUCGAUUCUCACAUUAUGAUGAUUCUAAUGAUUUAUGAUUUAUGUUUUCUUUAACUUUAUUGGUAGGUAAAGAGAUCAGUUAAAAAGAAACAUAUGAUUAUGGGGGAAAAUGGUUUUCCUUACGAAGAAACCCAAGUUGUCAUCAAAGCUCCACGGGUCUCAGGUUAUGCAACUCCGUCUAAAUUUAGAGCAUCUAUGUCUUUCCCCAUCGUUGUUUGCAUUUAGCUAGGACAGUUUCUUCAUUUUUGAAUUUCUUUGGAUUUUCUUUCAAUGUGUGUUACUGGUGUUAUAUAUUUAUUUGUCGUGAUUUAUUAAUAUAGCAUAGUUUAUAUAUAGCUUUUCAUCACAACCAUACAUGUGUACUUUCUGUUACAGUUUGUUAUCUAGUAGUUGUUACUCAAUGUAUAUAUAUAUAUAUUGGAUAUUGUAACUUUGUACAGACGAGUGAAUGAAUAAGAGCUUUAUCUCCUCUUUCACGUUAUCUUCUUC